GCCGCGCGCCUCUCCGAGCGGCUGGAGGCCGGUGCCGAACGUCCUUUCCGUGCGCCGCUGUUUUGGUUUCUAGCUGGUCCAGAGUUGCGCGUUCCUUUCCCUUUGCCCAAGACAGGUUUUACAAAUUUGGCUGACGUGGUGAGAUUAUCUUUUGGGGAUAAUUGGGUGAUAGAAGGCAUUAAAGAGCGUCCCGUUAGCGUAAACUCCGUAAGGACCAGCGUCGGUGUUGCCGUAUCAGAAGAUGACAUGCUGUAGGCGCUCAAUAUUAAAUGGGAGGAGACCACCACGUACUGCAAGUUAAGAUUAACUAAUGAAUGGAGGGCUCAUUCACCUGGAGGGAAGAAUCCCGGGCAGACCAGAAAACUGACUUCAGUCUUGGAGACGCUGGAAUCACUACCUGAAAAAGAACUUUAAAUCUGGAUCAUUGUUGCCAGCCAAAAUCUUUGCCUUCUCUGCCCACCGAGGCCAAAUGAAAAAUGUGGAGACAGAGUUUGAAGAAUAGAAAGAUGGCUUUUAUUCUCAGCCUGCAGAGAAGGGAAUACAGUAGACUCAUGCCUCAAGAACUGUGCUCCCCCUCCACGAGGAGUCUAGGGGCUUAUAUAAGGCAAGGGCUCACAUUCAGGAUCAGUGAUGAGGAGCAAAGGUGACAGGAUCUUGAUUACUUCCUCUUGCAUUGUUUCAGAGAGAGUCAUAAACUGGUGUCAGUAACCGGGUAUCUGAUUCUGGCAGUUCAGUGGCUCUGACCUCCUUUCGGAUAUGUAACUUUAAGGGGGAAGGGUGUUGUAAGGGUAAACACCAGAUAGGGGAUGUAUUUAGCAUAGACUCAAAGGAGAAAAUGUGAAUUGUAACUCCUGCAGAGUUAGGGGGCAGAAAAGCAAGCUUAAAGACAUGCAGAAGUUAAGAAUCUAGGAAUGUUCAGGCCUACUCACUGUUUUAUCUUCUUUGUUCUCAGGAAAGGGAAAAAAAAAAACCUCAUUCCUCUUUUCCUUGUCACUGCAACAUUAUGACAGUGGAACUCUAGGUUUUAGAAACCUUUAUCAAUAUGACAGGCAAAAAAGUGAUUUUUUUUUUGCGUGUUAUUUUAGAAAUUCCUAAUGAGACUGAACAUUUUUUCAUGUUUAUUGGUCAUUUAUGUUUUUUAUUUCAUGCAUUUUCUAUAUUGUCUAUGUCCUUUGUUCAUUUUCCUUUUGGAUAUUUUUUUUCUUAUUGAUUUGUAAGCAUGAAACCGAGCAGGACCCUGUGGGUCUUCAGGGCACAAAAGUCUUUCUGUGCAUUUCUUGUUUGUAGGAAAUAGUCUUCACAAAGCUUCCAUGACCUUCCCUGAGUUCCCAAGGGCAGGUUCAAAGAGCUGCUAAUCAAGGAAGGGAGGAGAUGCAGAAACAGGAGAAGAGCAAUCAAGAAACAAUAGUACAGCCUUGGGGCAGGCUCCUGGUUUCCCCCCACCCCCUCAAUGAAUAUACACAGCAAUAUCUUUGAGCUAUUCUGCCGAUACUGAAACCCCUACCAGAAAAAGUUAACUGUGUGCGUCCCACCAGCAUGUAGACCCCAGAUUGGUUGGACCAGAAGAUUGACAAUGCUGACUCCCAAUUACCUCACCAUCAACCAAUCAGAAGAAUGGCUAUGAGCUGAUCACACCCACCUCUUUGAACGGUUACUAUAAAAUUCAUUACCUCCUCUGGAGCCACCACGUAGUUCUGAGGGCAUUAGUCUGCUCUGCUUCCCCUUGCCUGGUAAAGCAAUAAAGCUGUUCUUUUCUAU
ensembl:lncRNA